rnacentral:rRNA from 1 species
UACAGAGGGGGCAAGCGUUGUUCGGAAUUACUGGGCGUAAAGGGCGCGUAGGCGGCCUGUUAAGUCGAACGUGAAAUCCCCGGGCUCAACCCGGGAACUGCGUCCGAUACUGGCAGGCUUGAAUCCGGGAGAGGGAUGCAGAAUUCCAGGUGUAGCGGUGAAAUGCGUAGAUAUCCUGAGGAACACCGGUGGCGAAAGCGGCGUGCUGGACACCUUCUGACGCUGAGGCGCGAAAGCCAGGGGAGCGAACGGG